rnacentral:rRNA from 1 species
UGGGGAAUCUUAGACAAUGGGGGAAACCCUGAUCUAGCCAUGCCGCGUGAGUGACGAAGGCCCUAGGGUCGUAAAGCUCUUUCACCAGGGAAGAUAAUGACGGUACCUGGAGAAGAAACCCCGGCUAACUCCGUGCCAGCAGCCGCGGUAAUACGGAGGGGGUUAGCGUUGUUCGGAAUUACUGGGCGUAAAGCGCGCGUAGGCGGACUGUUAAGUCGGGGGUGAAAUCCCGGGGCUCAACCCCGGAACUGCCCUCGAUACUGGCAGUCUUGAGUUCGAGAGAGGUGAGUGGAACUCCGAGUGUAGAGGUGAAAUUCGUAGAUAUUCGGAAGAACACCAGUGGCGAAGGCGGCUCACUGGCUCGAUACUGACGCUGAGGUGCGAAAGUGUGGGGAGCAAACAGGAUUAGAUACCCCCGUAGUCC